GACGAACGCUGGCGGCGUGCUUAACACAUGCAAGUCGAACGGAAAGGCCCUGCUUUUGUGGGGUGCUCGAGAGGCGAACGGGUGAGUAACACGUGUGUAACCUGCCCUUGAAUUUGGGGUAACUUCAGGAAACUGGGGCUAAUACCGGAUAGGAGCUCCUGCUGCAUGGUGGGGGUUGGAAAGUUUCGGCGGUUGGGGAUGGUCUGGCGGGUUAUCAGCUUGAUGGGGGGGUAGGGGCUGACAAAGGCUUUGAAGGGUAGCCUGCCUGAGAGGGUGACCGGCGACAUGACGCCUGAGAGACGGACCAGAAUCGUACGUGACGCAACAGGCGGGAACAUGGCACAACAGCGCGAAGCGAGUGACAGCGGCGUCCCGUGCGUGAUGCCCUGCUAUGGGUGAAAAACCGCUGUGGCCGGUGACAUACCCUGAGUGACGGUACCGGGUAAAGAAGCACCGGCUAACUACGUG
rnacentral:rRNA from 1 species